GCCUUCGUGGUGUAGUGGUCAGCAUGCUUGGCACAUGUUCAAGAGGUCAGUGGUUCGAGUCCCGGUGAGGGCA
rnacentral:tRNA from 1 species